UUGGCAGAUGUCAUCAAGUUUAAUUCAAUAUGACCAGUGGAGAGGAUACCCAGAGACGCAGACACACAGAAAGAAGGCCAUGUGAAGCUGGAGGCCGAGAUUCGGAUGUGCAUCCAUGAGACAAGGAACAGCAUGCACUGCCAGCCAUCACCAGAGCUCGGAGAGAGGCACGGGACAGAUUCUCCCCCAUGUCCACCGGAAGGAACCAGUCCAGCCAACACCUUGACUUCAAACUUCUAGCCUCAGAACUGUGAGACAAUAAAUUCCGUUUGUAGGCCCCCAGUUGGUGAGAUUCUGUUUCAGCAGCCCUAGGAAUCAAACGCACAAGUCUCCUGGGCUGAAUGCUGGUUACACGAGAGCUUGUGAGAAUUCGGUGAACUGUGGACUUACCAAUUAUGCGUGUUUCUCUUAUAUACAACACUUGAACAAAGGGGUCAAAAAAUAUAUAUCACAAAGCAGAUGCUUGCAGGAAGCGUUGGAAAAAGCCGUUUCUUGUGCUCAGUUGGCAGGACGAAUUCCCCUCUUCUCUGGUCACUGCCUUCCUGUGCUUUGGAAGGUACUUGGAGAGGAACCAUGUGAAAACACGAUGUUCAGAAACGGUCCCAGUAAAAGCCACACAGAGAAAGUGAGUGUAACUGAGAGGGCUCACGUCUCACGGAGAACGAUGGCCUUCUCUUAGAGGACAAUUACAGGGAAACAACGGUUUGUAAAUUUGAGGAAAAUUUGAUUUCUCUUUGCUUGUAGUUAUCUGUUCACCUGAUCACCACUGCUGAAUCGGCUGUAAUUGGAGCUCGCUCUUUGCCAGGCCCUGCGGUUGGGGGAAUUUGCUCACUUCUAGCAGCCCCCUGCUUUGUUUCCUAACAGAUGCGCCCUGUUUGUCAUGGACGCUUCCACAGAUAAGAGAAAAGGAGUGUGGAAGGAAGCGCAAAGAAGUCUGAGCUGCAGGGAGUCUCUUCAGGCCCUGGAAACACUUGCAGGGAAAAUGACAUCAUUUGAAUGAAAGAAUGAAUAUUAGAGGAAGGCCUGGCUUUGGAAGAGACCGGUCUGAUAAAGAAGAUGAGUGUGGACACAACUAUGACAGAACCAAACUGAGCACACUCAUAGACACAGAAACACGUGCCCACGCGGUCUAGAGACGAAGUGUACGUAUGUGCAGAACGAGACUGCCCUGAUUGCACCUGGUAGGCUUUGGAGAGCAGGCCUAGAGCCCAGCUGAAGGAAAGAGCUGCUCCCAGAGUCAGGAGUAGGAGGUCUUUGGUCCUUGAGCUGCAGGAACCUGCGCCCUGGCUAUGCGGAGGCGGCUGAGCCUCUAGACCUGCAAGGACCACUUGGGGCCUGGAAAGAUCUCCACAAGCGCUGGGGACAGAGGAUGACACAGUAAUAUCUAACACUGCAUUCCCCAAAAUGCUGGUGCCCUGGGGUGGGGGUCAAAGCCAGGGAAGCCAGUUUACAGAGAAUGAAGUAACAUUUC